rnacentral:lncRNA from 1 species
AUCAUCAUCACCAUAGGUAUCACUUAAGAUGGUUAGAAAUAUAUUUUCACCUCAUCCCAUUGUUUCUCAAUAAUAGUUUUCAGUGACCACAUAAUAGUCCAACAAAUGAAAGCUCCAGAUGAUGUAUCUUCAGGCUAUUUCUCUAUAUUUUUAAACAAUAACGCUUAUUUUAUAAACAUUUUUGAGCUGUAAAGUUUUUCUGUCUUUUGAGCCCAAGUGUUAGGAUUCUGUUGUGGGUCAAAUUGUGUCCCUCAGAAAGACGUGUUUAAGUUCCAACCCCUGGUGUUUGGAAAUGGGCCCUUGUUUGGAGAUAGGGUCUUUGCAGAUGUCACCAAGUUGAGGUGGUCGUUAGGGGGCAUCCCAAUCUAAUGUGGCUUGUCCUUAUAAGUAGAGGAAAAUGUGACAUGGAGACAGACACGCAUGGAUUGUGACGACGAAGGCAGAGGUUGGAGUGAUGCUGAGAUAGGGUCUUUGCAGAUGUGGUCAAGUCAAGAGGAGGUUAUUAGGGUGGGAUCCCAGUGUAAUAUGGCUGGUCCUUACAGGUAGAGGAAAAUGUGAUUUGGAGACAUCGACACGCAUGGAGUGUGACAAUGGAGGCAGAGAUUGGAGCGAUGCAGCUGCCAGCUGAGGAGUAUCAAGGGUUGGUCAUCACCGUCGGAAGCUAGAGGAGGCAAGGGGGGCUAUAGCUGGAGUCUCAGAGGGACAGCAGUCUUGAUUUUGGACUUCUUGCCUCCAGAAAGGUGAGACAAUACAUUAGCAUUGUUUUAAGCCUCCUGGUUUGUGUUACUUUGUUGUGGCAGCCCAAGGGGCUCUGAGUCUGAUAUUCUGUCAGGUACACAGCAGAAUUUCGCCUCUCCUGAUCACAUCACGCCGAUUCCAGGACGAAGCAGGCUGUCACAGGCAGGGGUCAAGCCAGGCUUGAGAAGAUGGGCCGGGCUGGCCUUGGCGAUCCUCCAGCCUGGGCUAAUGCAGUCUCCUAUGGAGGAAUGGCAUCCAGGCCUUCACCCCUCCAGGUCAGCCGUGGCAGCCAGCCAAGGGUUUCCCGCAGGUGGCCAGCCCGCCGUGGUGCAGACUGCGCUUCUCUUCUGUGACUGCCACAUGAGAGACACUCAAUAGAUGCCGACAGGCAAGUUGGAAGGUACAAGGGAGUCCUGGGGUUAUGUCUUG